UACGGGGGGGGGCAAGCGUUGUUCGGAAUUACUGGGCGUAAAGGGCGCGUAGGCGGCUUAUCAAGUCAGGCGUGAAAUUCCCGGGCUCAACCUGGGGGCUGCGCUUGAUACUGAUUGGCUUGAAUGCGGGAGAGGAUAGUGGAAUUCCCGAGUGUAGAGGUGAAAUUCGUAGAUAUUGGGAAGAACACCGGUGGCGAAGGCGGCUAUCUGGCCCGUAAUUGACGGCUGAG
rnacentral:rRNA from 1 species